GUGAGGAAUUUUCCGCAAUGGGCGAAAGUCUGACGGAGCAAUGCCGCGUGAAGGAUGAAGGCCUAUGGGUUGUAAACUUCUUUUCUCAGAAAAGAAUUAUGACGGUAUCUGAGGAAUAAGCAUCGGCUAACUCUGUGCCAGCAGCCGCGGUAAGACAGAGGAUGCAAGCGUUAUCCGGAAUGAUUGGGCGUAAAGCGUCUGUAGGUUGUUUAAAAAGUAUUCUGUCAAAGAUUAGGGCUUAACCCUAGAUAGGCAGAAUAAACUUUUAAGCUAGAGUUUGGUAGAGGCAGAGGGAAUUCCCGGUGGAGCGGUGAAAUGCGUAGAUAUCGGGAGGAACACCAAAGGCGAAGGCACUCUGCUGGGCCAAUACUAACACUGAGAGACGAAAGCGAGGGGAGCAAAUGGGAUUAGAUACCCGAGUAGUCC
rnacentral:rRNA from 1 species